rnacentral:misc_RNA from 1 species
AAAAACUUCGGCAAGAACGUGGAGCUUGUGUGUGAGACUUGUGUGCUAACUUAGACCACAAGCCCCCUCACGAGCCCUGUUUUUACGGACCCUGUGUGAACCGUAAUAUUUAUUCCAUCCACGUAAUACGAAAUUUCUAGUCUAAAGUCUUCUUCAUAUCACGAGAAUAUGAUAAAAA